rnacentral:tRNA from 1 species
UCGACUUCGCCCAGGGCGAGGGCGACGACUCCUACGGCGAGUCGUUCGAGGACGAGGGGCUCGGCCUCGCGUUCCGCCUCCGCAAGGCGUA